AGCAGCCGCGGUAAUUCCAGCUCCAAUAGCGUAUAUUAAAGUUGUUGCAGUUAAAAAGCUCGUAGUUGAAUUUCGGGAUUGACGUGAUGGUCAUGCCUUAAGGGGUAUGAACUGUCGCUGUUGAUUUCUCACCUUCUGGAGAAACUUGAUGUCCUUAAUUGGGUGUCUUGCGGAUCCAGGACCUUUACCUUGAAAAAAUUAGAGUGUUUAAAGCAGGCAUUUUUGCUCGAAUACAUUAGCAUGGAAUAAUAGAAUAGGACGGCAUGGUUCUAUUUUGUUGGUUUCUAGGAUCACCGUAAUGAUUAAUAGGGAUAGUUGGGGGCAUUAGUAUUCAAUUGUCAGAGGUGAAAUUCUUGGAUUUAUUGAAGACUAACUACUGCGAAAGCAUUUGCCAAGGAUGUUUUCAUUAAUCAAGAACGAAAGUUAGGGGAUCGAAGACGAUCAGAUACCGUCGUAGUCUUAACCAUAAACUAUGCCGACUAGGAAUCAGACGAUGUUAAUUUUUUAAUGACUUGUUUGG
rnacentral:misc_RNA from 1 species